ensembl:lncRNA
UGGUUGUCUGGAUUUUCCGGUUUUUCUGGCCACAGCUACAAUAGGGAGGGAGGGCCAGUCCUCAUUGUUAUAUCUAGCAGCCUCUUUUUCCAAAGCAUCAGCAUCUCCCGGAUCUAAGGGACCCUCAUCUGGAAGAAGACCCUUCCUUAAUGCAGGCUUCGCAUCAGCAUACACUGGCGGAGCAGAUGGCUUAGUUUCACUUUUUGUAGGAGGCGGAGGGACAAGCUCGGGAACAUCAGCCUUGCCAGGCUCCUCAGAGGAAGGACUUGAGGAGGGUCUUUCAACCCUCUCUCCCUCAUACCGAGGAUCCAAACUAUCUCUAAUUAAAGCCCAUAAACUAAAAGUAUCUAUAGGGGCUUUAGUGGGUCCAUGACCAUCAUAAUAGUCCUGAAGUUGUUUUCCCACCUUAGUCCAUAUUUCUAAAUCUACUGUGCCUUUUUCAGGGAACCAAGGACAAACUUUUUUUACAAAUUUUAAAAAAUUACAUAAUUGUUGAUGCCCUACCUUUGCUCCACGAGACCGAAGCAUAUUCUUAAGUAUUUGCGCAAAAAGCAUUGGGCUACUGCUAUUACCCAUCUUGCUACUCCCGAGUGUAUUCACCGCCCUUGACUUAUCCGAGCUCACAAUCCGCGGUGUCCUUCACUAUGGUCCCCCGUAUUCAGGUCCCUGUUCGGGUGCCACCCGUGACGGAGCCCGCCGUCACCUGUCGAACAGUACCUGAAUGGGGGAAUGAGGAUGAAGAAAAAUAAAGACAAAGAGAUAGAGCCGGGAGGGCUCCCAGAGAUCGAGUGCCCAAGUUUAUUUUUCACCUUUCUUUUAUACACUUGUGCCUCUUUAAACAGUAUUGCUUCGAAGUAACAGGUGGGUCUCUGUUGACUUACCCGCGGGCCAGGACAAGUGGCGCCCAACGUGGGGCCCGAGAACGGGGGAUCCAGUGAAGAACGCUGCUCGGGGGCCCAAUAAAAUAGAAGAGACAAAUAAAAUAGAAAAAAGAGGAUUGUGUUUGACGUGAACCUGCCAUCUUUCCUGCACCUCGGUUAAAAAGAUGACAUCCCUGAUUCUGUUACAUGGCCUGUUGCUGCUCCUGGCACCGACAGCAGAAAGCAGAUUUCAACCAGUUAACAAGGAACAACUGCUCAUUGCCCUAAACUCUCACAGACCAGAAAAUAUGUUUCUUCUUUGAUUUGUAUGGAAUUGGCACAGGCUGUGGAUGCUGAUAAGAAUGAUGUCCACUGAAAGUGGCAAUAUGUCUUAUUUUUGAAGCUAAAAACAGAAGUGGAAGAACUUAUAAGUAUGACCUAAAAAGGCAGGAUCAAAGGCAUUUUGGACAUUGGCAAUAGCAUGAUUGAAGUGGGCCAUGAAAGCUGAACUGAUGCAGAUCGUCAAGAUUCCAUUAAUCUCUUCCUGGGAGUUUUCCAUCCUCCCGAAGGAAACUUCCAUUCUGGGAACUCAAACAGAGUUUUGUCCAUAUCACAAAAAAACCUAUGAAACUUUUACCAACAAGAAAAAGUGACUUUUUACCUAAGACUGUUGGCAUCGAUCCAAGUCCAUUUACUGUGUAGAAAUCAGAUGAAACUGGAAAAUCAGUAUUGGAUUCAUUGGUGGCAAAGGAAGAUAAAAACUCUUAGAAGGGGAGAUAAGAGAGCUGCUGCAUCUGGACAUCUGCAGUGGGCAAGGCCCACCAGAGGACAAGUGGGAAUUGAACUGGAAAAGAGCUUCUGAGAGCGCAGCCCUGGACGAGGAGAGAAUGUGGCAAUGCCUCCCAGCAGCAGAGGAAGUGGAACCAUUCAGGCCACAGUCCAUAAAAUCUGCCAUGAGGUGAACAGCUGCCUUGAUGUACUGCCUUGCUGCAGACCCAGAAGCAAUGGCCAACUGACUGUGGACUGAAACCUCUAAGACUAUGAGCCAAAAUCAACCUCUCCUUUCUAUAGCUGAUUAUCUCAGAUAUUUUGUCACAAUGACACAAAGUUGAUGAAUACAAACAUUGACAUGAAGUCCAGCUUGAAGGUAUAGUUACCUGUAGAAUUAAAAUGAGUGUUAGAAGAGAGAGGGAAUGUACUGUGGUUAUAUGCUUACAGUGUGUAACAUAGUAUAACUGAAACAAAUUACAAAGACAAUAAGGAAGAAUAUGGAAAUACAAAGUCUGUUUUCAGAAAUCACAUUGAUGGUGGUAAUAUUAGUAUUGUUAUUCUGAAGGUGUUG